UAGGUUACGAGAAAGGCCAGAGGAGAAGAUCAAGUUCCAGCUUUGGAGAAGCUUAGUCUAAUUGGCAGGGGUCAAGCGUCAGAGAUUUUGCAAUCUAUUGCUGAAAGCAAGAGAAACCCCUAAACUCUUGGAUAGCCUGCUGCCAGAAAUGUUCAAUUUCACCCUACCGGACACAGAAACAGGGGGCUGGAACUAGUUGUCCUUUCACUCUCCUUCCCUAUCAGUUAGUCGGAAGCAGAUACUUGGAUAGCAUUAAUGUGUGUGCAUGUAACUUUCACAAAUAGUUACAGGGCAGACACAAAAACUAUGCUAUUGAGGCCUAGGAACCUGGAGCGUGGUGUUCCAAGUGGGCAGCGUCCCUAGUGCCCCGUGGCAGUUAAAGCCCUGGUGUGUAAAAUGGACGAAUUUAAAAAAAAAUAAAACCUUGAAACUCUCA